rnacentral:rRNA from 1 species
AUGAACGCUAGCGACAGGCCUAACACAUGCAAGUCGAGGGGCAGCGGAGAGGUAGCAAUACCUUUGCCGGCGACCGGCGCACGGGUGAGUAACACGUAUGCAAUCCACCUGUAACAGGGGGAUAACCCGGAGAAAUCCGGACUAAUACCCCAUAAUAUGGGUUCUCCGCAUGGAGGGUCCAUUAAAGAGAGCAAUUUUGGUUACAGACGAGCAUGCGCUCCAUUAGCCAGUUGGCGGGGUAACGGCCCACCAAAGCGACGAUGGAUAGGGGUUCUGAGAGGAAGGUCCCCCACAUUGGAACUGAGACACGGUCCAAACUCCUACGGGAGGCAGCAGUGAGGAAUAUUGGUCAAUGGUCGGCAGACUGAACCAGCCAAGUCGCGUGAGGGAAGACGGCCCUACGGGUUGUAAACCUCUUUUGUCGGAGAGUAAAGUACGCUACGUGUAGCGUAUUGCAAGUAUCCGAAGAAAAAGCAUCGGCUAACUCCGUGCCAGCAGCCGCGGUAAUACGGAGGAUGCAAGCGUUAUCCGGAUUUAUUGGGUUUAAAGGGUGCGUAGGCGGCACGCCAAGUCAGCGGUGAAAUUUCCGGGCUCAACCCGGACUGUGCCGUUGAAACUGGCGAGCUAGAGUGCACAAGAGGCAGGCGGAAUGCGUGGUGUAGCGGUGAAAUGCAUAGAUAUCACGCAGAACCCCGAUUGCGAAGGCAGCCUGCUAGGGUGCGACAGACGCUGAGGCACGAAAGCGUGGGUAUCGAACAGGAUUAGAUACCCUGGUAGUCCACGCAGUAAACGAUGAAUACUAACUGUUUGCGAUACAAUGUAAGCGGUACAGCGAAAGCGUUAAGUAUUCCACCUGGGGAGUACGCCGGCAACGGUGAAACUCAAAGGAAUUGACGGGGACCCGCACAAGCGGUGGAGCAUGUGGUUUAAUUCGAAGCAACGCGAAGAACCUUACCAGGCCUUGACAUCCCGGUGACCGACCCGUAAUGGGGUCUUCUCUACGGAGCACUGGAGACAGGUGGUGCAUGGUUGUCGUCAGCUCGUGCCGUGAGGUGUCGGCUUAAGUGCCAUAACGAGCGCAACCCCUAUCGACAGUUACUAACGGGUCAAGCCGAGGACUCUGUCUAGACUGCCGGCGCAAGCCGCGAGGAAGGUGGGGAUGACGUCAAAUCAGCACGGCCCUUACGUCCGGGGCGACACACGUGUUACAAUGGCAGGUACAGAAGGCAGCCAGUCAGCAAUGACGCGCGAAUCCCGAAAACCUGUCUCAGUUCGGAUUGGAGUCUGCAACCCGACUCCAUGAAGCUGGAUUCGCUAGUAAUCGCGCAUCAGCCAUGGCGCGGUGAAUACGUUCCCGGGCCUUGUACACACCGCCCGUCAAGCCAUGGAAGCCGGGAGUACCUGAAGCAUGCAACCGCAAGGAGCGUACGAAGGUAAUACCGGUAACUGGGGCU